CCUACGGGGGGCAGCAGUGAGGAAUAUUGGUCAAUGGACGAGAGUCUGAACCAGCCAAGUAGCGUGAAGGAUGACUGCCCUAUGGGUUGUAAACUUCUUUUAUAUAGGAAUAAAAUGAGGCAUGUGUGCCUUUUUGUAUGUACUUUAUGAAUAAGGAUCGGCUAACUCCGUGCCAGCAGCCGCGGUAAUACGGAGGAUCCGAGCGUUAUCCGGAUUUAUUGGGUUUAAAGGGAGCGUAGGUGGGUUGUUAAGUCAGUUGUGAAAGUUUGCGGCUCAACCGUAAAAUUGCAGUUGAUACUGGCAGUCUUGAGUGCAGUUGAGGUAGGCGGAAUUCGUGGUGUAGCGGUGAAAUGCUUAGAUAUCACGAAGAACCCCGAUUGCGAAGGCAGCUUACUGGACUGUAACUGACGUUGAUGCUCGAAAGUGUGGGUAUCAAACAGGAUUAGAUACCCUUGUAGUC
rnacentral:rRNA from 1 species